UCAAGAAUCUUCGGGCAUGCC
rnacentral:siRNA from 1 species